UCGAACGGUUCCGGCUCGUCCGGGACAGUGGCGAACGGCUGAGUAACACGUGAGCAACCUGCCUCUAAGUGGGGGAUAACUCCGGGAAACUGGAGCUAAUACCGCAUGUGGUAGUAAGGCGAAGGCCUUACUAAGAAAGCCGCAAGGCGCUUGGAGAGGGGCUUGCGUCCUAUCAGGUAGUUGGUGAGGUAAUGGCCCACCAAGCCUAUGACGGGUAGCUGGUCUGAGAGGAUGACCAGCCAGACGGGGACUGAGACACGGCCCCGACUCCUACGGGGGGCAGCAGCAAGGGAUUUUGGGCAAUGGGCGAAAGCCUGACCCAGCGACACCGCGUGGGGGAUGAAGGCCUUCGGGUUGUAAACCCCUUUUCUCAGGGAAGAAUAAUGACGGUACCUGAGGAAUAAGCCUCGGCUAACUACGUGCCAGCAGCCGCGGUAAUACGUAGGAGGCAAGCGUUACCCGGAUUUAUUGGGCGUAAAGAGAACGUAGGCGGUUUACCAAGUCAGGUGUGAAAUCUCACUGCUUAACGGUGAGGGGUCAUUUGAUACUGGUAGGCUAGAGGGUUGCAGGGGAAAGCGGAAUUCCCGG
rnacentral:rRNA from 1 species